rnacentral:rRNA from 1 species
UCAAGCGAACAAGGGCGCAGGGCGAAUGCCUUGGCACUGGGAGCCGAUGAAAGACGUGAUAAGCUGCGAUAAGCUUCGGGGAGCUGCAAAUAAGCAUUGAUCCGGAGAUUUCUGAAUGAGGAAACUCACCUGGGUUCAUACUCAGGUACGUUGUACUGAAAUUCAAAAUAGGUACAUCGAGGGAACCGCCUGAACUGAAACAUCUAAGUAGGGCGAGGAAGAGACAUCAAACGAGAUUCCGUAAGUAGUGGCGAGCGAACGCGGAAGAGGGCAAACCGUGAGUAGAAAUACUUGCGGGGUACGGACUGCAUUUAGGACUUAAGUUGUUAACCGAACGGCAUGGGAAGGCCGGUCAGAGAGUGUGAGAACCACGUAGGUGAAAACGACAAGAGCCGAGCAAGUUCCAGAGUACGGCCAGACACGUGAAACCUGGUCGGAAGAUGGGGGGACCACCCUCCAACCCUAAAUACUACCCAGUGACCGAUAGCGUAUAGUACUGUGAAGGAAAGGUGAAAAGCACCCCGGGAGGGGAGUGAAAUAGAACCUGAAACCCUGUGCCUACAAGCACCUAGAGCACGUCAAUGUGUGAUAGGGUACUUUUUGUAGAACGGUCCGGCGAGCGAUUGUAUGCAGCAAGGUUAAGGACUUAAGGUCUGGAGCCGAAGCGAAAGCGAGUUUGAAAAGGGCGUUAAGUUGCAUAUAAUGGGCCCGAAACCGGGUGACCUACCCAUGGUCAGGUUGAAGUGGAAGUAAAAUUCCAUGGAGGACCGAACCGACCUCCGUUGAAAAGGCGGCGGAUGAACUGUGGGUAGCGGAGAAAUUCCAAUCGAACCCGGAGAUAGCUGGUUCUCCCCGAAAUAGUUUUAGGACUAGCCUCAAGUUAGAUACCUGGAGGUAAAGCACUGAAUAGCCUAGCGGCCGAGAGGUUAGCGAAGCUUAUCAAACUCAGAAUGCCAGAGUAUUGAUGCUUGGGAGUCAGACAGUGUCAGAUAAAUGUCAUUGUCAAAAGGGAAACAGCCCAGAUCUACAGCUAAGGUCCCAAAGUCAGGUUAAGUGGAAAACGAUGUGAAGAUACGCAGACAACCAGGAUGUUGGCUCAGAAGCAGCCACUCAUUCAAAGAGUGCGUAAUAGCUCACUGGUCGAGCGUCUUUGCGCGGAGAAUUUAACGGGGCUAAACCUGACACCGAAGCUUAGGCAAUCCAGUAAUGGAUUGGGUAGGGGAGCGUUGUAUACGCGGAGAAACAGUAGCGUAAGCGGCUGUGGAGUGUAUAGAAGUGAGAAUGCCGGAAUGAGUAGCGCGAAUGCAGUGAGAAUCUGCAUGGCCGAAAGCCUCAGGUUUCUGGAGGAAGGUUCGUCCGCUCCAGGUUAGUCGGGAGCUAAGGUGAGGCCUAACGGCGUAGCCGAUGCACAGACGGUAGAGAUUCCGUCACCACCAAAAGAGUUAAACACAGGGACACAUUUGAAGUCUCGGAGCCGGGUGUUGGUUCCGGUAGCGAUCGAGGGAAGUUAGUACCGAAGUCCGGGAUGGAAGAUGGCGAGAAAAGCUGUGUGUAUUUCUGCGGUGCCCGUACCGCAAACCGACACAGGUAGGUAGGAAGAAGAUUCUAAGGCCAACGGGAGAAGGGUUGUUAAGGAACUCGGCAAAUUGACCCCGUAACUUCGGGAGAAGGGGUGCUCCAGAGAUGGAGCCGCAGAGAAUCGGCCCAAGCAACUGUUUACCAAAAACACAGGUUUGUGCUAAAUCGAAAGAUGACGUAUACGAGCUGACGCCUGCCCGGUGCUGGAAGGUUAAGAGGAGAUGUGCAAGCAUUGAAUCGAAGCCCCAGUGAACGGCGGCCGUAACUAUAACGGUCCUAAGGUAGCGAAAUUCCUUGUCAGGUAAGUUCUGACCCG